CGGGUAAGUUCCGACCCGCACGAAUCGUGUAACGAGUUGACGACUGUCUCGGAGAGACGCUCGGUGAAAUUGUAGUAGCGGUUAAGAUGCCGCUUACCCGCAGCAGGACGGAAAGACCCUAUGCACCUUUACUGUAAGCUGUUAUUGUCGCUUGAUUUUCAUUGCGUAGAAUAGGUGGGAGACGUUGAUCCUUCGUUCCAGGACGAAGGUUAGUCGAAAUGUGAAAUACCACUCUUUGUUGGUUAGGCGUCUAACCUCUUUCCAUUAUCUGGAGGAGGGACAGUGAUAGCAGGUCAGUUUUACUGGGGCGGUAUCCUCCCAAAAAGUAACGGAGGAUUUCGAAGGUUCCCUCAGCCCGGUCGGUAAUCGGGCUAUAGAGCGCAAGAGUAUAAGGGAGCUUUACUGUGAGACCUACAAGUCGAGCAGUUGCGAAAGCAGGAUCUAGUGAUCCGGUGGUUGAAUGUGGAAUCGCCAUCGCUCAUAGGACAAAAGGUACGCUAGGGAUAACAGGCUGAUCGCGCCCAAGCGUUCACAGCGACGGCGCGGUUUGGCACCUCGAUGUCGGCUCGUCACAUCCUGGGGCUGGGGAAGGUCCCAAGGG
rnacentral:rRNA from 1 species